GGCGACCGGCGCACGGGUGAGUAACGCGUAUGCAACCUGCCUGAUACCGGGGUAUAGCCCAUGGAAACGUGGAUUAACACCCCAUAGUACUUUUAUCCUGCAUGGGAUGUGAGUUAAAUGUUUAAGGUAUCGGAUGGGCAUGCGUCCUAUUAGUUAGUUGGCGGGGUAACAGCCCACCAAGACGAUGAUAGGUAGGGGUUCUGAGAGGAAGGUCCCCCACAUUGGAACUGAGACACGGUCCAAACUCCUACGGGAGGCAGCAGUGAGGAAUAUUGGUCAAUGGACGUAAGUCUGAACCAGCCAAGUCGCGUGAGGGAAGACUGCCCUAUGGGUUGUAAACCUCUUUUAUAAGGGAAGAAUAAGUUCUACGUGUAGAAUGAUGCCUGUACCUUAUGAAUAAGCAUCGGCUAACUCCGUGCCAGCAGCCGCGGUAAUACGGAGGAUGCGAGCGUUAUCCGGAUUUAUUGGGUUUAAAGGGUGCGUAGGCGGUUUAUUAAGUUAGUGGUUAAAUAUUUGAGCUAAACUCAAUUGUGCCAUUAAUACUGGUAAACUGGAGUACAGACGAGGUAGGCGGAAUAAGUUAAGUAGCGGUGAAAUGCAUAGAUAUAACUUAGAACUCCGAUAGCGAAGGCAGCUUACCAGACUGUAACUGAC
rnacentral:rRNA from 1 species